CAAGCAUUUAUGAGGUAUGGUCAGCUAUAUGAAAAAAAAAAUCUCUAAAACCUACUUUGACCAUAAAAACUCCAACAACUCAAGAACUGGCAUUUCAAAAUUUCCAAAACUCAAAACUCAGACCCCUUCUUUCUCUGCUUACCUCCAUCACCGGUGACCGAAGAGUUCCAGCUGGGCAUCGACGUCUUUACCGGCAAACACCCCUCACCCCUUUCAUCUUAUACCGUGCCCUCUUUCUCUCUGUGUGUUCAUGAACGGCCGGCCACCGGUGAAGCCGGUGGCGGUGCGGUGACAACAACAGAAAACCGGCAGAGCCGGGGGUACCAAUGCAACGCUCACGGCGGCGACGGUAGUGAAAUUUCGCGACGGUGACUGACGACGGAGUCGUCACGACGACCAGACUCGCCGGAAACGGCGACGACGCCGACAACGGCGACGGAAUAACGGCGGUUGGGGUUUGAACGGUGAUACUUCUUGUUUCCGACAACACAUCGAUGGAAGUGAUGAUGGUUGGAACCAAAAAGGCGACGACAGUUUUUUGUCCGGCAACGAUGGCUGCGAUUUCGGGAACCGGGUGUUUGCUUCGGGUCACCCACGGGUUUGUUCGGGUCAGACUUGAGAAGAUUUGAGUUAGUUUAGUCACGAGUCGGUUUCGGUUCGAGAGCUUUAGUUCCACUUGGAUUCGGAUAUUAUUUUCGGGUUAGCUUUGGUUCUGUCAACCAUAAGUCUGCGGUUCGAGUUAUGGUACAGAUUUGGUUCAGUCAAAGCAGGUCAACGGCUCGGGUCAACGGGUCAGACCUGGUGCGGUUCGGGUUCAGGUCAGCGGGUUCGAGUAAGGCGGUUAACAAGGUCAGACGGUUUGGUUCGGUUGACUCGGUCAAACCGAGUCAACUCGGUCAAAACUGGUCAACUCGGCGAGUCGACUCGGUCAACUCAACCAGUCAACGCAGUGGACUCGGUCAACUCGGGUCAACAGUCAACUUGGUCAGCCGGUCGAAACCAGUCAACACACGACACGGAAUACUAUAGUUGCACGCUAGCUAAUGCACGUUCUUGGAACGACACUACGGAAUCACGCUAGGCUAGCUUUGCACAGGAAUGUCAAGGUGAGUUCAUAACCCCCACUUUUUACUGUUUUACAUUUUUAUAAAUAUUUUCGGGGGUGGAAAGACAUGCAAGUUUUGCAAAAGUAAACAAUUUUUCGAUAAGCGAAAACCUCAUAUUUCUAAACCAUAUUGCGAAUGGAUUUCAAGGAACUCAAAUGGUUUACGAACGAUUUAUACUAAACAUACCGGUUUUACAAAACAAACGCGUAUUUUCACAAACGUGCAUGAUUUUCAUGACUAGUGACAGGAAUGUCCUAGUUUCUACAACGGGACUGGGUUGUUCUGCGUACGAACAACGAGACAACCCAAUGGGUUUAUGUCCCCCUUUUUCUUUUGAAAUACAUAUUAACUAGGGUAUGAUUAAGCUAUGGAAUGAACUCUUGGAUCACGUGCGAAUAGGCGCUAACUUAGGCACCAUUAAUCCUUUUAAGGACCACGGAACAGGGGGUAGAUCUAUCGGGUACGGGCGAGCCCCACUCACGGUCCUUGUGCGGCCACUUAGAGUGCUUUUGUGUCCCUGUCGAAGUGAAUCGACACUUAAAUCGUCUACCGGGUUGAGUGCUUCCUAUGUCGGCACACAUAUUAAUGUCUUAGCUACACAUUAAUGAUCAACAUGUUCAUAGACGCAUUACAUACCUACUUAUAAACUGACCUUUCAAAUGUUUUUAAGGUUCAUUUGAUGUAAACUCACAAAUACAUGGAUUUACAAACUUGGGUAACGUUUUCAACUUAUGUACAAGUAAGAGGACGUGUUGGUCCUGCUUACAAAGACUUUCGUUUGGGCUCGGCCCACUCUCUCUCGUGCAAUGCACAAAGACUAUUGUGGGCUAGACUCACAGUUUUUCAUAUAUCAUGCCAAGAAAAUAAUUUUACUAUACUUUCUCAAAAACUUUAAAACCGGUUAUCAAAAAGAUUUCUUUUAAAUCUUUUCAAAACAAACUAUGAACUCGCUCAACUUUAUGUUGACUUUUUCCGCAUGUUCUUUCUCAGGUUGCAUUUUCAAAACUAUGGAACGGUUGGAAUAGGAGAACCCAAUGGAGAUUCGAGUACUUAGUGGCGUUCAUUUUCUAGAAGUCUUAGCUUAUUUGCUUCCGCUGUGCAAUGAAGAUACCGGUCCAGUCACACCAAUGCUCUGAUAUUUCGGGGUGUGACAGAUUGGUAUCAGAGCUAUAGGUUUCAGCGAAUUAGGUUUCUGUAGAGAUACCUAGGCUCUAACCCCACUUUCCUCUGGGGACUUAGAUUUUUAAGACUUUGAAUACGUACAGAACGCCUAGGACUCGAAUAUGGGUUCCAACCGUUGCCGAAAACAAUGAGUCAACAAUUUUGGUUUUAAUUAUACACAAGUGUUGUGUUAAUACAUGGUUCACGAAACAAAUUCAUACAUUAAGCAAGACUUUGAGAGUUUUGAAUAACAUGCAUUUAGGACCUUUGGAAAGCUUGUGUCAACACUCAUUAACGGUCCUCACUUAGAAACCGUGACUAACAACUCGGGCAAGUACCAUUAUCUAUAGUCUAUGUUGCCCUAGUAGGUAAUCUACGUGGAACAAAACGCUAGUGGACACGAAUACAUGAAACUCAAAUUAUACGUCAACGGAUGUCGGAGCACAUCACAUUCUACGCGGAACGAAAUGCUAAUGCACAAGUAUACAUGAAACUUAAACUAUACGUCAGCGGACGUCGGAGUACAUUACACACGACUUUCGAGGCAAGGCCUUGGGGAAAACACAAAUGGCCAUGACAACAACGAUGCUAAUCCUGUCAGCGGGAGAGCUACCAACCGAAAUGCAGCACUUUGCAACGUGAUCCUGCAAAUGACACGAGUCAUGCUGAGGUACGUUAAAACAAGAUUUCACAACAGUCGAUACUUAGUCUGAAGAGACUUACAAUGGUUGGCGCUGCAAAAGAAGUCACACGUCUUCGCAUUCCCCCUAUUUCAUUUAUGGCAAAUACGCUGUGUUCGACAUUCCAUGGUAAUGUCACCUAACAACUAGUCCUCACACGAACUUCCAGGUAAAGUCCUUAAAUUUCUUUUGUUGAAAUUUCGACUUCUUGCAUAUAGUGAGUAGAUUUUUGCAUUUCUACUCCGCCUAAUGGUCAUUGCAUCACCAAGAUUUUAUUUCAUGAUAAUGAACACUCGUUGCUUAUUCUUGACAAAUUCGUACUCUACACAUACAUUGUUUGCUACGCAUGUGGUUUCACUUCGAAUGGUUGUUUUAUCAACAUCUCAUAUAUAUAUAUAUAUUUUUUUCGCUAUACUAAAUCUUUGCAUUGUAUUACAGACGACCCGUAUUAUUGCAAAAUGUUGACUCCUUGGUAUCGAGUCAACGGAUUUCUUGGAAAACUUAUUUUCUUUUGAGUGGCAUACAUGGUUUUUCGUUGUGGCCAUGUCGAAGCUUUCUUAUUGAUACAUGAAUUCAUUGUUGGAUUGUGUUUCAACCAAUUUCAAUUGAUUGAACUUGCUCUUAAUAUAUAUUCGAUUCUAAAUUCCAUAUGAUGGAUUGAGGCCAUCAUAUUCGAAAUAAUCCCGACAAACACUUCAUUUGCUUUGAACCAUAACAUGCUUGUUUGGUCCUCGACUUCAAUGAAUCAUUUCUUUGAGCACGACCACCUUGUGGUGGCGUUUUUCACAAAUCUGAAGCUUGCGCUAAUCUCGUUGCUCACCUCAUGUACGGAUUUAAUUAUUUAUUUUUUUUAUUGAUAUUAAAUCCUCUUUGUUAAUUUUCAUAUUAAAGCAAUCUUAACACAAUCGUGUGUUAAGAUAAUGGUACACAAAUUUAUGUCAUAUUUCGGUGUACCUUUUAACGGUUCUUUCACCAUCGAGCGAACAUUUAUGAUAUUCAUUGUUUUUCAUCUUCGCUCGAAAACAUUGUUUAUUUGUUUCAUUUUCAAUUGAAAAUCCUAUGAGAUUUGUUUGAACCGAAUAUUCAGAUCUACUUCAUUGAACCUUUCAUCAGAUUUCAAACACGGUGAACUUGUUCGGUCACUGCUAUUAUUGAAUUGUUUCAAUCACUACGACACCUUGUGGUGUCGGUAUGAACUUGUAGCUUGGGCUAAUCAUGAUCGAGCGUUUCAUGCAAAACACGGUGAUACUUGUUCGAUCACCACUAUUAUUGAUUAUUUCAUUCACUACGACGCCUUGUGGUGUCGGUAUAAACUUGUAGCUUGUGCUAAUCACGAUCAGCCGUUUCAUGCGAAACUAUAUAUGCUUUUCGUCUCACACAUCGUUUAAAUAGUCUUAAUGCAAUUAUGUAUUAAGACGAUGAUACACCAGGUUCAGUUGUAUUUCGUUUUGGUGUAUCCUUGCAGCUCAAUAAUGUCAACACGUUGAUUUUAUUCAUUUAACGGUUUAAUUGUUGAUAAAUCAUUUUUAUGACUCUUUUUAUUUGAACUUGUUAAAUCCGAGUUCAAUCAUACAACAACCAAUGCCAGUUUCCGUUGGUAGUGAGUUCUAUUGUUUCAAAAAUUUAAUUGCGAAUUGUGAACGUUCAUUUGGAAUUCUAUUGGUCGAAAUUCACCUUUUGUUGAACCCUGUAAAUUUACACACAUUGGUGAUAGUAUCACUAUGCCUCGUUUACUUGAUAUCGAUUUAUGGAAUAAACUCAGUUGAACCGUUGGGUUCUUAUUGAUGCAAAAUGUCCUUACAUUCACGUAAUCUGAAUAAGUUUUGAUUCGAUUACGCAUUCAUUCACUUUGGUAUUAUUCGGACUUACCUAGGAACGACACAACUCUGAGGAGAUAACAUGGACUAAAUUUCGAGGACGAAAUUUCUGCAACAGGGGGAGAAUGUGACAACCGGUAAUUUCCGAGUUUUAAUUACGUGCAUAACGAACAUUAAUACAAUCAUAAGUAGCGUAAUUAGACGUAAAUUAACUUAAUUAGGCCAUUGGAAAGCCUAGGAGCGUCUACUUGAUUCACGUUACGCGAACGGCUUAAACUAAAUAAAUAUCUAAAGCGUGAAUACAAUGAAAUUAUUAUUAUUUAGGCGGGCGGCAUCAGACAACUCGCGUAUGUGGUAUACACUCGCACAUAUCAAAUACCCAACUAGUUUAUGCAGUUAUUUGCGAGACCCCAAAAAAAAAUUAAUUAUCAUGUAUAGCUCCUACAUAGAAAACCCAAACGUACACUAUACAUCUUAAAUAUGUGUGUAUAUAAAUGAACUUGUAACCUAUACAUAUACACUUAGAUUAAUAUAUACACACUUAAAU